UCUUCAUUUUUAUCUUCUUUCAUGUGUUAUUGCCCUACAUCAUAUGCUGCAAAAAGUAAAGCCACAAAUCCUCGUUCCCUUUAGCUUUUCUUCAUUUUAUAUCCUUGUUGAACUAAUUGCACAACACUGUAAAAAUCCAUGUCAUCCAAGAUCAGGAUGUGUUGGGGUCACCAAAUGUUUGUAUUCCUCAGAGAAUCCAAAUAAUGUAUUAACCACAAGAUGUAACAAAGAAUAAACAACGUAUUAUAAGUCUCUCUAAUUUAUAAAUUUAUAAACCCCUAUAAAACUACAUUUAUAAUCUUUUAUAAAACACUUAACAUUAUUGACCAAGACACCGAUUGGAUAAUCACUUUUGGAUUGUCUAGUGGUUCUGUUCCAGCUUCAUAAAUCCUUGGAGGCAAUCAUGAAGAUGUGCAAGAUUCAUUGCUGUCUAACUGCAAGACGAAAUAAAAAGAUGAUGUUAACUUUUAAUCGUGGUCUAAAGAUACCUUAUCCAAGCAUA
rnacentral:lncRNA from 1 species